UGAGUAACGCGUGGGCAACCUGCCUUUAACUGGGGGAUAACACUGGGAAACUAGUGCUAAUACCGCAUAAAAUCAUGAGAGGACAUCCUUUUAUGAUCAAAGGAGCAAUCCGGUGAAAGAUGGGCCCGCGUCCGAUUAGCUAGUUGGUGGUGUAACGGACCACCAAGGCGACGAUCGGUAGCCGAACUGAAAGGUUGAUCGGCCACAUUGGGACUGAGACACGGCCCAGACUCCUACGGGAGGCAGCAGUGGG
rnacentral:misc_RNA from 1 species